AUUGCCCUAGUAACGGCGAGUGAAGCGGCAACAGCUCAAAUUUGAAAUCUGGCUUCGGCCCGAGUUGUAAUUUGUAGAGGAAGCUUUUGGUGAGGCACCUUCUGAGUCCCCUGGAACGGGGCGCCAUAGAGGGUGAGAGCCCCGUAUAGUCGGAUGCCGAUCCAAUGUAAAGCUCCUUCGACGAGUCGAGUAGUUUGGGAAUGCUGCUCAAAAUGGGAGGUAAAUUUCUUCUAAAGCUAAAUACCGGCCAGAGACCGAUAGCGCACAAGUAGAGUGAUCGAAAGAUGAAAAGCACUUUGAAAAGAGGGUUAAAUAGCACGUGAAAUUGUUGAAAGGGAAGCGUUUGUGACCAGACUUGCGCCGUUCCGAUCAUCCGGUGUUCUCACCGGUGCACUCGGGACGGCUCAGGCCAGCAUCGGUUUUGGCGGGGGGAUAAAGGUCUGGGGAACGUAGCUCCUCCGGGAGUGUUAUAGCCCCGGGCGUAAUGCCCUCGCCGGGACCGAGGUUCGCGCAUCUGCAAGGAUGCUGGCGUAAUGGUCAUCAACGACCCGUCUUGAAACACGGACCAAGGAGUCAAGGUUUUGCGCGAGUGUUUGGGUGUAAAACCCGCACGCGUAAUGAAAGUGAACGUAGGUGAGAGCUUCGGCGCAUCAUCGACCGAUCCUGAUGUAUUCGGAUGGAUUUGAGUAAGAGCGUUAAGCCUUGGACCCGAAAGAUGGUGAACUAUGCUUGGAUAGGGUGAAGCCAGAGGAAACUCUGGUGGAGGCUCGCAGCGGUUCUGACGUGCAAAUCGAUCGUCAAAUCUGAGCAUGGGGGCGAAAGACUA
rnacentral:rRNA from 1 species